UACGUAGGGGGCAAGCGUUGUCCGGAUUUAUUGGGCGUAAAGAGCGUGUAGGCGGCCAUGUAGGUCCGUUGUGAAAACUCGAGGCUCAACCUCGAGACGCCGAUGGAAACCAUGUGGCUAGAGUCCGGAAGAGGAGAGUGGAAUUCCUGGUGUAGCGGUGAAAUGCGCAGAUAUCAGGAAGAGCACCCGUGGCUAAGGCGGCUCUCUAGUACGGUACUGACGCUGAGACGCGAAAGCGUGGGGAGCAAACAGG
rnacentral:rRNA from 1 species